rnacentral:rRNA from 1 species
UACGUAGGGGGCAAGCGUUGUCCGGAAUCAUUGGGCGUAAAGCGCGUGUAGGCGGCCCGGUAAGUCCGUUGUGAAAGUCCAGGGCUCAACCCUGGGAUGCCGGUGGAUACUGUCGGGCUCGAGUCCGGAAGAGGCGAGUGGAAUUCCUGGUGUAGCGGUGAAAUGCGCAGAUAUCAGGAGGAACACCGAUGGCGAAGGCAGCUCGCUGGGACGUGACUGACGCUGAGACGCGAAAGCGUGGGGAGCAAACAGG